CGAAACGGUGCAACUGGCCGUCCCGUUUGUUGCCCGUACCGUGCCCCGCCCGCCCGUGUACGAUUUGGGCGUGAAAGAUUGCGCCCGGGGUCGGAAAAACCGGUCACAAGUGUGUGCAGUGCAGUACGAGCGGCUUUCCUCCGUCAUCGUGUCACCGUCAUUUUUUCGCUCGUCUGCUGCUGCUCUCCUUGUACCGUGUGCGUGUGUGUGUGUGUGUGUGUGUACGUACGGUGUGUGCGGUGUAUGCGUGUGUGUAGGAGCGAGUGUGUUAAAGUCAGAGCUGCACGCGUUUUCGCUGUGCCGCAGCAAAUUGGGUAUCGAAUCGAACUUUCGGUGCGGAAAAGCGGAAGGACACAGCGCGAAACACGAACGUGUACGAUCCGGUCGCCUCGCACCCACCCCCUCCCAUCCCUCGCUCCCUCAACACCCGGAAGUCGGUGAAAUCGCACAGUUGUGAGGAAUUGGAAACAGGGUGCCGUGAAAAUGAGUAGCUCUGAGGAGGUAUCAUGGAUUUCUUGGUUUUGCGGACUGCGCGGUAAUGAAUUCUUCUGUGAGGUGGACGAGGAUUACAUACAGGACAAAUUUAACCUGACCGGACUCAACGAACAGGUACCGAACUACCGUCAUGCGCUGGAUAUGAUUCUGGACCUCGAGCCCGAGGAUGAAAUUGACGAUAAUCCCAACCAGUCGGAUCUGAUCGAGCAGGCGGCGGAGAUGCUGUACGGUUUGAUACACGCUAGAUACAUUCUCACCAACCGUGGCAUAGCUCAAAUGAUAGAAAAAUAUCAAAGUGGAGACUUUGGGCACUGCCCACGCGUUUACUGUGAAAGUCAACCAAUGCUUCCGCUAGGUCUGUCGGAUGUGCCCGGUGAGGCGAUGGUAAAGUCCUACUGUCCCAAAUGCAUCGACGUUUACACACCAAAGUCCUCUAGACAUCAUCAUACCGAUGGCGCAUACUUCGGAACUGGAUUCCCGCACAUGCUGUUCAUGGUACACCCAGAGUACCGUCCUAAGCGUCCCGCAAAUCAAUUCAUACCACGUCUCUACGGUUUUAAGAUUCACUCCUUAGCGUAUCAAAUCCAACUGCAGGCGGCAGCGAACUUUAAGGCACCGCUUCGAGGGGUAAAUGGCACCGUGGUGACUUACACAAAUCCAAAGUUAAACUAAUAACCAAUUUUUAAUGCAAAACUGUUCUCUCUCUCUCUCCGCAUUCGUGUAUCGUGCUCCUCCUCUGAGUGCAAUGGCAUCAGUUUUUCUUUUGUCGGGUCGUUUUUUUCCAUACCAUUGCACAAUUUUUCUCCAACCAAAAAGUCCUACUGGAAUUCCGAUUGCAAGUUUGCUAACACAGAUUAUUAAGACGAUCCUAUAAGAGAAUUCUACUUCUAGUAAUGUCAUUGAAAAUGAAUCAUUUCGGCAUACAUUUUGGAGACAAUCACGUUUACUCGGAUGUCUUGUUUAUCUGAACACAAUCAAGAUACAUACUUGAUGAUUAUACAUCAAUUGCAAUUUUUAAUUGUUGCAAUCUUUUUCAUUAUUACUUGCGAUUUGUUCUAUUAAUUAUAUUUUCUUCCUUUUAUACAUUAUCGUAUCCGCGUUGCUUGUCUUUGUUGAUUGAAACCAAAAUGUUCAAUAAACUGCAAGCACUGAAAUAUUCACCUAGUAUUUAGUUUCUUAUAAUUUUGUUUCCUCAUGCUUUCCUUCAAUUAAAUAUUUACGUAUCCAUGUUCAUACAAUAGUGCGUGUACAGGCGUAUUUUUCCGUAUUUUUCUAGAUAAUUCAUCGAUCACUGAUCGAAGAUAUACAGCUUUGUGUGAGAAUUUGUGUGCAAAAUUGGUUACUUGAAUGGCAUGGCCGCUCCGCCAGCCGAUUGUUUUUGUUUACUGUGCUAAACGAAAUUUCUCUUCUCUUCCCUAUGUGUUUUGUGGUAUCUAAAAACAACUCCGUGUUUUGUGUGCGUGUGAUACCGCAUGAUGUAUGUGAAUAAUUGUCCCGUUACAACAUCCCACGAAUCAUCCUCCAAACACGCUCCAAAAACAAUACCGACGUCAUCUUCAUCGUUCCAAAAACUGAAGAGCUCGGCGAAGGGCAUCGACAACUGAACCGCAAGCCGCCGAGACUAUAUCGAAAAGAUAGUUUGAGCCAGCCGCCACCCUCUCGAUAUAGGAUCAACCAAGCAACUAAGCAACCAUCCCCUUGCUACUAAUACCACCAUCAUCAUCCAUCCCCUCCCCUCCCUUACAUCAAGCGGAAAGCGUGUUCGUGUGUGUGUGCGUGCGUGCGUGCGAGUGUUAGAGAUGCAAAAGCGGAAGCCAGAUCCCCCAGGGGGGAAGAUACAAUCGCGGAAAAGUGUUUCGUGAAAUGUCCUAGCAGAACACGCAUCAUAUUUAGGAUGCUGUAUGCGUCGUUCGGUAGAGUUUUGUUAAUAGUUUUUUUUUCUUUUUAUAAAAUCACACAUUGAUUUAUUCGCGCAUCCACAUGGAUGGAAUGUAGCUGUGUGUGUGUUGAAUAAUGUUUUUUUCCACGUGCUUUAGAAACAAAUAUGAAAACAAACGGAUCCACUAGACGCAGUGCAUCCCCAUCCCCUCUCCUUCUCGCUUUUUCCACACGAUAUCUCGGCGCGAUCGAUAGUGAAAAGUGUGUUCUAGGCAUCUUGUGCGCGUUGCGCUGGGAACAUUCACGAUACAUAGCAGGCGAACACGUGUUAUACGCAUGCACACCACUCAAACACACACACACACACAUAGAGCGGAAAAUCGAGUAACAGCAGCAGCAGAAGCAAAAGUAGUAGCAGAUAGAAACACGUAGGGAGAGCGCAAAAGAAAAAAAAAGAAAAGAACGGAAACAACAAAAAUAAAAUAAUCCACGUAGAAAAAUAGAACGAAGACGCCGAGACGGACGGCGGGCCGGAGGAUCUAUGGAUAUGGAAGAUGAUGAAAGUAAUUAAUACACACACACACACAUACAUACACGCGAGGUACGUUAAUGUAAACCAAGCAGUCUUGGAAUCAUCUCUCAACUCUCUCUCUCUCACCCUUUCCGCUCCACCCAUUUUCUAAUUUGCUGACCCCCCAUGCGUUUGUUGAUGAUCGCGGGCAGAAGGAACAAAACAAACCCGCAUUUCUUGCCCCAUUUUGUGUCUAAACAUCAAUACUUGCAUUGAAAGCGUUAAGCAAGCUCCAUCUUCAAAACUAAUUUAUGGGUAAAAAUAGGAAAAUUUUAAACAAAACGUAGAGCCGGAUGAUGAAUAUCCUGUUAUAAUUAUAUUGGUCGAGGAUUUGCUUUAAAAAAACGCUGCGUUUUUCAACAGAAAAUGGUGCGCCAGGGGAAACCCGAGAAUGGAUUGAAUUGAAUUGAUUGCGCAAAUUCUUGUAGGAAUUAUAACAUGGUGAUUGUAUUCCAAUUGUACAGAGCAAUGAAGCUGUGUUUAGUAAGCGAAUCGUAUUGUCCUACUUACAGUUGGAAGUUUUCGGUCACAAUCGUGUUUGAUUUUCCGGGGUUUUCAAUUUUUUUCUUCUUGUUUUCAUAUUUUCUUUAUUUGCACCUUUCGCCGGAAUGUUUUUCCCCUUUAACAUACAUUCGACCACUCUGUUACAAUGUCCCGUUGGCAGAUGAUCACAAUGGCGAUUCUCGUGGCACGGUGCGUCUAUCGUGUUCGUUUGUGUAGUUUUUCUCUAUUAUCAUCGUGUAGUGUUUCGUAGAAAGGAAAUAAUUGUGCAAAGGAAACGCUUGAAAUCUCCUAGAUGCAGAGGGUGGUGGGGGGGGCUAGAAUAUGGAUUAUAAGGAUACACAAAAAAGAACUGUCCAUCGGGCCAGUCGAAGCGGAAGGAAAGGAAAGGGUUCAGCUAAGAUGUAAGAGGAACAAACAAGCAAGGUGGAAGAAGAUAGUACCACAAUGAAUAAAGCAAAAGAACAAUAACCACACACACACACACCCACUCAUAAGAAAACCGGGAAAAGAGAAAGAAUAAGGCGAAAAUACACACACACACACACAAGGAAGAGGCAAAUGGUAGCACGUUUGAAAAGAAAUUGAAGCAACGGUCCUCAAGAAUCACACCCAAAUCUCCAAUAUUUAAGCAGAUUAUGCAACACAAGAAAAGAAGAAAAAAAACUUCAUUAAACAACCAUAUUAAGACCACCAUGCCACCUCUCCCACCCUCUCCUCCAUCUUCUAUCAUCGUAUCAACACUUGUGUGUUUCGGGAGAUGAAAACGGCUUGUCUGGCAGCGGCGGCGCUAAUAAGCCGCCACGGAUCCCUGCAACUGUGUGUGUGUGUGUGUGUGUCUCUGUGUAGGGUUAGGUAAUAAUAUUUUUAAUCCAUUUUAGUUUAUCCUUGAUGAGCGCGAGUAGCGCGCGCCACAACACGCAAAACAGCAAGGGGGAAAACUAUAGAAGGAAAAUACAGGGGAGAAGAAGAAAACGAGGGGAAGAAAAAAGAUACUGAAAAACCGCAUCUUUUUCACGAUAAAUAUUUAUCUGUUUUUGUUAUUCAUUUUUGCUCGCGCGCGUAUGGAGGGUCAGGGGUGUUAAAAUUAGUUCCAUUUAAAAGAAAAGACCCCUCCCUCCUCUUCCACCAGUUUCAAUGCCUCAUAAUCCAUCUCCAGCGCAGGCACAGCUGUGUGUUUCAAACACUGAUUUGCAACCUUUCCGAGGCACGAGUGGAAGGGUUGGCCGCAUCCCCUACUUCUUCUAUUACUAAUACAACAUCUAACUUAGGGCAUUUUUUAAAACAAAUAUUGGAAAGGAAAUAUCAAUUUCUAUUUUUCUGUCAUUUUGUUUCCUUCAUUUACACCUCCCCCACUGACACGAAUGUCCAAUAACUAGGAGAAGAAAAACAAACAAAUGGCAUUUGCAAUUUUGUGUGAGAGCAGCAGCAAAUGGAAGGCGAGAGGAAGGAAGGAGCAGGCAGUGUAAUUGAGCAGGAAGAGCAACGGCGGAACACGCGGGAGAGGGAAUGUGCGCGAAGACACUAUUUGGUUCGUGCGCGCCCUCCCUCUUGGCAAGGGAGGGAAAUCAUUAUUAUAAUAAUAAAGAAACAACAAAACAAAACAAAAAUUUAAAGCAACUGCAUUAUUAGCGAACAAACUAAAGCAGCAACAAUAAAAAAAAAACAACGGAAGAAAGAGAAAGAGUAACAACAAGGAGUGGGUAAACAAAAUACAAAGAGAAACAGAAAAAAAAAACAAACAAUUCAUACACAAACAACCAAGAAGAAACAGGCAACAGACAGAGCAGCGCAACAAGUAAAACCUCCAAAAUUUCUUUCUCACAGUAAAAAACAAACAAACA